CAGGGGUGUGUUUGUAAUUUAAAACUUUAUCGAGGGCCUAAUGAGGACGCCGACUCCCCGCCGCGGGAUCGGCUGCCACUCCAGUCCCUUCGCUUCCGAGGCUUGACGGCGGCGGCGGAGGAGGAUGCGCUUCACGGCGUCUCCGGUGGUGGAGCUGCCGGUGGGCGGCGCGGUGCUGACGUUCGAGCAGGACAACGACUCCUUCGAGGUGGGCACCUCCGUGUGGCCUUCCUCCCUCGUCCUCGUCAAGUUCGCCGAGCGCUGCCUCCGCGACCCGGCGCUCCCCUUCGCCGACGUCCUCCGCUUCCCGGGCACCCGCGCCGUCGAGCUCGGCUCGGGCUGCGGCCCCGCCGGCCUCGGCCUCUCCCGCCUCGGCCUCGCCGACCUCGUCCUCACGGACAUCGCCGCGGUGCUCCCCGCGCUCCGCCGCAACCUCCGCCGCAACCGCCGCCACCUCCCGCGCGCCCCACGCCUCGCCCAGCUCCACUGGAACUGCCCCGCGCACCUCGCCUCCCUCGCCUCCCCGCGCCGCUUCGACCUCGUCGUCGCCGCCGACGUCGUCUACGUCCCGGAAUCCGUGCCCCACCUCGUCGCUGCCAUGGACGUGCUCGCCGACGCCGACCGCGGGGUGGUGCUGCUCGGGUACCAGGUCCGGUCGCCGGAGGCGCAUCAGGCCUUCUGGGACGCCGUGCCGGCGGCCUUCCCGGUGAUCGAGAAGAUUCCACGGGAGCAUCUGGACCCGGAUUACGCCUACGAGGAAUCCGAUGUGUUCGUUCUUCGCAGGAGGCCGCGACAGUGAACUGGCAUCGAUUGCUGGAACAUGUUUUGUUUCAGAGGAAAUCCGCGAAGCACUGAGUGCUAUGGAGGAACAUUCUGCAGAGGAUUCAACCUUAUGAUGAACUAUUUAGCGUAUUUUCUGUGGGUCCCAUUUACCACGUCAGCAAAAACCAUUUCCCAAAACAUCGAAUGAGUUGAUUUAUACCAGGUUUCUAAGGGACUGUUUGGUAGAGCUUCAACUUUGAUCCGUUGGUGUCAUAACGUGUCUAUUGGUGUCUGUAUGCUAAUUAUACUUAGAUCAUGGUGUCAUAUAUAUGGAUAAGCUAUUUAGCUAUAGGUUUUGCCAAAAGUCGUUAGUAUCGCCUGACACCUGCCAUUAUACUAUAGAUCCGCUCCUGCUCUUCCAUUUAGCUCUAGGAGCUGGGUCUAGAAUGGAGUUGUGGAACUGCCUAAACUCCACUUCACAUCUCUAGUUCAUUUUGUGAGAGAGUUCCACUUAGUUCUGCUCCUAUUUUAGGGACAUUUAACUAUUUGUCACUUUUAAGAUGUGGCAUCUAAAGAUUUGCCACUUGUUGUCUAUUACAUGUGGGUCCUCAUGUGCCUAUAACAUGUAGGUUCUGUGGCAAAUCUUUAUCAUCACUCAUAAGAGGGGUAAAUAGUUAAUUAUUCCUCUAUUUUGGGUGGAGCUAAAACUGUUUGGUUGAGCUCUAGCUUCAGAAGAAGUGCCAAAUAGGCUCUAAGAUAGGGGAGGCCUUAUACCUGGUUUUACGGUCGAGGGAGGUUAUUCGAUCAGAAGCAAGGGAGGAGGGAGGCCGGUGGGCAAAUCCAUUUUUAGGUGGGCCAAAUGGAGGCCCAACUUUGUGUGGCGGUAUACAGGCCGUGCAGUUGGGCUGGGACUCCGCCUUCCACACCGAAACGGCCCACGCGUACCGACGCACCUCGCUCAUCCCAUCCUAGCCGUCGGUUCCAAAUCUGACGGCAUCAAGGCCCUCCAGGCCGUGCUCAUAUAGGUUUCCUCUCCACCUCCAGCCCGGACUCUCCCGAUCCUUCCCCAACUCGGCGUCGCGCCGCCUCAACCGAAGCAAGGAGCAAAGCGGGGAUUCAGAACGGGAAGGAGAAGGUCCGGUUCGUCCGCUCUCGAGCUUAGGUUUUUAAAACGGAUCAAAUAGUAUUCUUUGUCGGGCGGAUAUUUCAAGGCCUACUCCGGAAGGAAUGCCCUUGUGCAACAGGCAAAAAAAAGUGCCUCUGUGCCAUGUUGUUUGAUCUUUUUUGCAGUUGCAGGGGGGAGAAAUACUAAACUUUCUAGUGGAAGAGACACCUCUAUGUUGUUAACAGUGUCCAGAUAUAGGUUAAAACUUAUCAUGAGCAACAUCUAGCUUCAUGAUUUCUUGAAGUGGAUUACAGUCGUUUGUUUUUGUUCUUUCUAUUCACUUUGUUCUUCUAAUAUUAACGGCUUUGAAUAAGUGUGCAGAUUAGGUUAAAA